UACGGAGGAUCCAAGCGUUAUCCGGAUUCAUUGGGUUUAAAGGGUGCGUAGGCGGACUGAUAAGUCAGUGGUGAAAGCCUGCAGCUUAACUGCAGAACUGCCAUUGAUACUGUCAAUCUUGAGUACAUUUGAUGUGGGCGGAAUGUGUCAUGUAGCGGUGAAAUGCUUAGAUAUGACACAGAACACCGAUUGCGAAGGCAGCUCACAAAACUGUAACUGACGCUGAGGCACGAAAGCGUGGGUAUCAAACAGG
rnacentral:rRNA from 1 species